GGGGAUUUAGCUCAGCGGCAUAAGCACCUGCCUUGCAAGCAGGUGGUCGUGAGUUCGAUCCCCGUUACCG
rnacentral:tRNA from 1 species